rnacentral:rRNA from 1 species
GAAUUUUGGACAAUGGGCGACAGCCUGAUCCAGCAAUGCCGCGUGCAGGAUGAAGGCCUUCGGGUUGUAAACUGCUUUUGUACGGAACGAAAAGCUUUGGGUUAAUACCCUGGAGUCAUACCGGUACCGUAAGAAUCAGCACCCGCCAACUACGUGCGCGCCGCCGCGGUAAUACGUAGGGUGCAAGCGUUAAUCGGAAUUACUGGGCGUAAAGCGUGCGCAGGCGGUUUUGUAAGACAGAGGUGAAAUCCCCGGGCUCAACCUGGGAACUGCCUUUGUGACUGCAAGGCUAGAGUACGGCAGAGGGGGGUGGAAUUCCGCGUGUAGCAGUGAAAUGCGUAGACAUGCGGAGGAACACCGAUGACGAAGGCAACCCCCUGGGCCUGUACUGACGCUCAUGCACGAAAGCGUGGGGAGCAAAC